rnacentral:tRNA from 1 species
GGAUUGUGGCUCAGCGGUAGAGCGCUCCCCUAGUACAGGCGCAACCCGGGGUUCGAUUCUCAGCACCA